GACGGAGGAUGCAAGCGUUAUCCGGAAUGAUUGGGCGUAAAGCGUCCGCAGGUGGCAGUUCAAGUCUGCUGUCAAAGCACAGGGCUUAACCCUGUAAAGGCAGUGGAAACUACAAGACUAGAGUGCAGUAGGGGCAGAGGGAAUUCCCAGUGUAGCGGUGAAAUGCGUAGAGAUUGGGAAGAACAUCCGUGGCGAAAGCGCUCUGCUGGACUGCAACUGACAUUGAGGGACGAAAGCUAGGGGAGCGAAUGGG
rnacentral:rRNA from 1 species